AGUGAACGCUGGCGGUAGGCCUAACACAUGCAAGUCGAGCGGCAGCACAGUAAGAGCUCGCUCCUACGGGUGGCGGGUGGCGGACGGGUGAGGAAUGCAUCGGCUUCUACUUUUUCGUGGGUAAAACGUGGGAAAACUUACGCUAAUACCGCAUACUACUUACGGGUGAAAGCCGGGGAUCUUCGGCCCUUUUGCGCUUGCAUGAGCCGAUGUCGGAUUAGCUAGUUGUCGGGGUAAAGGCCUACCAAGGCGACGAUCCGUAGCUGGUCUGUGAGGAUGAUCAGCCACACUGGAACUGAGACACGGUCCAGACUCCUACGGGAGGCAGCAGUGGGGAAUAUUGGACAAUGGGCGAAAGCCUGACCGAGCCAUACCGCGUGGGUGAAGAAGGUCUUCGGGUUGUAAAGCUCUGUUGUUGGGAAAGAAGAUCAGCGUGUUAAUACGCCGCUGUUCUGACGGUACCCAAUGAAUAAGCCCCGGCUAACUACGUG
rnacentral:rRNA from 1 species